ACUGAACGCUGGCGGCAGGCCUAACACAUGCAAGUCGAGCGGCAGCGGGAAAGUAGCUUGCUACUUUUGCCGGCGAGCGGCGGACGGGUGAGUAUGCCUGGGAAAUUGCCCAGUCGAGGGGGAUAACAGUUGGAAACGACUGCUAAUACCGCAUACGCCCUACGGGGGAAAGCAGGGGACCUUCGGGCCUUGCGCGAUUGGAUAUGCCCAGGUGGGAUUAGCUAGUUGGUGAGGUAAUGGCUCACCAAGGCGACGUACCCUAGCUGGUCUGAGAGGAUGGUCAGCCACACUGGAACUGAGGAACGGACCAGGCUCCUACGGGGGGCAGCAGUGGGGAAUAUUGCACGAUGGGGGAAACCCUGAUGCAGCCAUGCCGCGUGUGUGAAGAAGGCCUUCGGGUUGUAAAGCACUUUCAGCGAGGAGGAAAGGUUGAUGCCUAAUACGUAUCAACUGUGACGUUACUCGCAGGAGAAGCACCGGCUAACUCCGUGCCAGCCGCCGCAGUAAAAC
rnacentral:rRNA from 1 species